UACAGCGGGGGCAAGCGUUGUUCGGAAUUACUGGGCGUAAAGGGCGCGUAGGCGGUGUGUCAAGUCAGGCGUGAAAGCCCCGGGCUCAACCUGGGAACCGCGCUUGAGACUGGCACGCUCGAGUUCGGGAGAGGAUGGUGGAAUUCCCAGUGUAGAGGUGAAAUUCGUAGAUAUUGGGAAGAACACCGAUGGCGAAGGCAGCCAUCUGGACCGACACUGACGCUGAGGCGCGAAAGCGUGGGGAGCAAACAGG
rnacentral:rRNA from 1 species